rnacentral:rRNA from 1 species
GGUUAAGCGAAUAAGCGUACACGGUGGAUGCCCUGGCAGUCAGAGGCGAUGAAGGACGUGCUAAUCUGCGAAAAGCGCCGGUAAGGUGAUAUGAACCGAUACAGCCGGCGAUGUCCGAAUGGGGAAACCCGGUGCACUCAGUGCAUCAUCGCAACAUGAAUACAUAGUGUUGCGAGGCGAACCGGGGGAACUGAAACAUCUAAGUACCCCGAGGAAAAGAAAUCAACCGAGAUUCCCCCAGUAGCGGCGAGCGAACGGGGAGCAGCCCUGAACCAUCAUCAGUGUGUGUGUUAGUGGAAGCGUCCGGAAUGGCGCACGAUACAGGGUGAAAGUCCCGUACAUGAAAAUGCACAUACUGUGAGUUCGAAGAGUAGGGCGGGACACGUGGUAUCCUGUCUGAAUAUGGGGGGACCAUCCUCCAAGGCUAAAUACUCCUGACUGACCGAUAGUGAACCAGUACCGUGAGGGAAAGGCGAAAAGAACCCCGGCGAGGGGAGUGAAAAGAACCUGAAACCGUGUACGUACAAGCAGUGGGAGCACCCUUUGGGGUGUGACUGCGUACCUUUUGUAUAAUGGGUCAGCGACUUAUAUUCUGUAGCAAGGUUAACCGUAUAGGGGAGCCGCAGGGAAACCGAGUCUUAACUGGGCGUUAAGUUGCAGGGUAUAGACCCGAAACCCGGUGAUCUAGCCAUGGGCAGGUUGAAGGUUGGGUAACACUAACUGGAGGACCGAACCGACUAAUGUUGAAAAAUUAGCGGAUGACCUGUGGCUGGGGGUGAAAGGCCAAUCAAACCGGGAGAUAGCUGGUUCUCCCCGAAAGCUAUUUAGGUAGCGCCUCGUGAACUCAUCUCCGGGGGUAGAGCACUGUUUCGGCUAGGGGGCCAUCCCGGCUUACCAACCCGAUGCAAACUGCGAAUACCGGAGAAUGUUAUCACGGGAGACACACGGCGGGUGCUAACGUCCGUCGUGAAGAGGGAAACAACCCAGACCGCCAGCUAAGGUCCCAAAGUCAUGGUUAAGUGGGAAACGAUGUGGGAAGGCUCAGACAGCCAGGAUGUUGGCUUAGAAGCAGCCAUCAUUUAAAGAAAGCGUAAUAGCUCACUGGUCGAGUCGGCCUGCGCGGAAGAUGUAACGGGGCUAAACCAUGCACCGAAGCUGCGGCAGCGACACGUAUGUGUUGUUGGGUAGGGGAGCGUUCUGUAAGCCAUUGAAGGUGGACUGUGAGGUCUGCUGGAGGUAUCAGAAGUGCGAAUGCUGACAUAAGUAACGAUAAAGCGGGUGAAAAGCCCGCUCGCCGGAAGACCAAGGGUUCCUGUCCAACGUUAAUCGGGGCAGGGUGAGUCGACCCCUAAGGCGAGGCUGAAAAGCGUAGUCGAUGGGAAACAGGUUAAUAUUCCUGUACUUGGUGUUACUGCGAAGGGGGGACGGAGAAGGCUAUGUCAUCCGGGCGACGGUUGUCCCGGUUUAAGCGUGUAGGCUGAGAUUCCAGGCAAAUCCGGAAUCUCUUAAGGCUGAGGCGUGAUGACGAGGUGCUACGGCACUGAAGUGACAAAUGCCCUGCUUCCGGGAAAAGCCUCUAAGCUCCAGGUAACACGAAAUCGUACCCCAAACCGACACAGGUGGUCAGGUAGAGAAUACCAAGGCGCUUGAGAGAACUCGGGUGAAGGAACUAGGCAAAAUGGUGCCGUAACUUCGGGAGAAGGCACGCUGGCGCGUAGGUGAAGGGACUUGCUCCCGGAGCUGAAGCCAGUCGAAGAUACCAGCUGGCUGCAACUGUUUAUUAAAAACACAGCACUGUGCAAACACGAAAGUGGACGUAUACGGUGUGACGCCUGCCCGGUGCCGGAAGGUUAAUUGAUGGGGUUAUCGCUCUGCGAGAAGCUCCUGAUCGAAGCCCCGGUAAACGGCGGCCGUAACUAUAACGGUCCUAAGGUAGCGAAAUUCCUUGUCGGGUAAGUUCCGACCUGCACGAAUGGCGUAAUGAUGGCCAGGCUGUCUCCACCCGAGACUCAGUGAAAUUGAAAUCGCUGUGAAGAUGCAGUGUACCCGCGGCAAGACGGAAAGACCCCGUGAACCUUUACUAUAGCUUGACACUGAAUAUUGAGCCUUGAUGUGCAGGAUAGGUGGGAGGCACUGAAGUACGGACGCCAGUUCGUACGGAGCCAUCCUUGAAAUACCACCCUUUAAUGUUUGAUAUUCUAACGUGGACCCGUUAUCCGGGUUGCGGACAGUGUCUGGUGGGUAGUUUGACUGGGGCGGUCUCCUCCCAAAGAGUAACGGAGGAGCACGAAGGUUAGCUAAUCACGGUCGGACAUCGUGAGGUUAGUGCAAAGGCAUAAGCUAGCUUGACUGCGAGAGUGACGGUUCGAGCAGGUGCGAAAGCAGGUCUUAGUGAUCCGGUGGUUCUGAAUGGAAGGGCCAUCGCUCAACGGAUAAAAGGUACUCCGGGGAUAACAGGCUGAUACCGCCCAAGAGUUCAUAUCGACGGCGGUGUUUGGCACCUCGAUGUCGGCUCAUCACAUCCUGGGGCUGAAGUAGGUCCCAAGGGUACGGCUGUUCGCCGUUUAAAGUGGUACGCGAGCUGGGUUUAGAACGUCGUGAGACAGUUCGGUCCCUAUCUGCCGUGGGCGCUGGAGAAUUGAGGGGGGUUGCUCCUAGUACGAGAGGACCGGAGUGAACGCACCACUGGUGUUCGGGUUGUCAUGCCAAUGGCAUUGCCCGGUAGCUAAGUGCGGAAAAGAUAAGUGCUGAAAGCAUCUAAGCACGAAACUUGCCCCGAGAUGAGUUCUCCCUGACCCUUUAAGGGUCCUGAAGGGACGUUGAAGACGACGACGUUGAUAGGCCGGAUGUGUAAGUGCAGCGAUGCAUUGAGCUAACCGGUACUAAUGACCCGUGAGGCUUAACCUU